UGGGGAAUAUUGGACAAUGGGGGAACCCUGAUCCAGCCAUGCCGCGUGUGUGAAGAAGGCCUUAUGGUUGUAAAGCACUUUAAGCGAGGAGGAGGGUACUGGUAUUAAUACUACCAGCUACUGGACGUUACUCGCAGAAUAAGCACCGGCUAACUCUGUGCCAGCAGCCGCGGUAAUACAGAGGGUGCGAGCGUUAAUCGGAUUUACUGGGCGUAAAGCGUGCGUAGGCGGCUAAUUGAGUCGGAUGUGAAAUCCCCGAGCUUAACUUGGGAAUUGCAUUCGAUACUGGUUAGCUAGAGUGUGGGAGAGGAUGGUAGAAUUCCAGGUGUAGCGGUGAAAUGCGUAGAGAUCUGGAGGAAUACCGAUGGCGAAGGCAGCCAUCUGGCCUAACACUGACGCUGAGGUACGAAAGCAUGGGGAGCAAACAGG
rnacentral:rRNA from 1 species